rnacentral:rRNA from 1 species
UUUAUGGAGAGUUUGAUCCUGGCUCAGAGUGAACGCUGGCGGCGUGCCUAAUACAUGCAAGUCGAACGAUGAAGCUUCUAGCUUGCUAGAAGUGGAUUAGUGGCGCACGGGUGAGUAACGCAUAGGUCAUGUGCCUCUUAGUUUGGGAUAGCCAUUGGAAACGAUGAUUAAUACCAGAUACUCCCUACGGGGGAAAGAUUUAUCGCUAAGAGAUCAGCCUAUGUCCUAUCAGCUUGUUGGUAAGGUAAUGGCUUACCAAGGCUAUGACGGGUAUCCGGCCUGAGAGGGUGAACGGACACACUGGAACUGAGACACGGUCCAGACUCCUACGGGAGGCAGCAGUAGGGAAUAUUGCUCAAUGGGGGAAACCCUGAAGCAGCAACGCCGCGUGGAGGAUGAAGGUUUUAGGAUUGUAAACUCCUUUUGUUAGAGAAGAUAAUGACGGUAUCUAACGAAUAAGCACCGGCUAACUCCGUGCCAGCAGCCGCGGUAAUACGGAGGGUGCAAGCGUUACUCGGAAUCACUGGGCGUAAAGAGCGCGUAGGCGGGAUAGUCAGUCAGGUGUGAAAUCCUAUGGCUUAACCAUAGAACUGCAUUUGAAACUACUAUUCUAGAGUGUGGGAGAGGUAGGUGGAAUUCUUGGUGUAGGGGUAAAAUCCGUAGAGAUCAAGAGGAAUACUCAUUGCGAAGGCGACCUGCUGGAACAUUACUGACGCUGAUUGCGCGAAAGCGUGGGGAGCAAACAGGAUUAGAUACCCUGGUAGUCCACGCCCUAAACGAUGGAUGCUAGUUGUUGGAGGGCUUAGUCUCUCCAGUAAUGCAGCUAACGCAUUAAGCAUCCCGCCUGGGGAGUACGGUCGCAAGAUUAAAACUCAAAGGAAUAGACGGGGACCCGCACAAGCGGUGGAGCAUGUGGUUUAAUUCGAAGAUACACGAAGAACCUUACCUAGGCUUGACAUUGAGAGAAUCCGCUAGAAAUAGUGGAGUGUCUAGCUUGCUAGACCUUGAAAACAGGUGCUGCACGGCUGUCGUCAGCUCGUGUCGUGAGAUGUUGGGUUAAGUCCCGCAACGAGCGCAACCCCCUUUCUUAGUUACUAACAGGUCAUGCUGAGAACUCUAAGGAUACUGCCUCCGUAAGGAGGAGGAAGGUGGGGACGACGUCAAGUCAUCAUGGCCCUUACGCCUAGGGCUACACACGUGCUACAAUGGGGUGCACAAAGAGAAGCAAUACUGCGAAGUGGAGCCAAUCUUCAAAACGCCUCUCAGUUCGGAUUGUAGGCUGCAACUCGCCUGCAUGAAGCUGGAAUCGCUAGUAAUCGCAAAUCAGCCAUGUUGCGGUGAAUACGUUCCCGGGUCUUGUACUCACCGCCCGUCACACCAUGGGAGUUGUGUUUGCCUUAAGUCAGGAUGCUAAACCAGCUACUGCCCACGGCACACACAGCGACUGGGGUGAAGUCGUAACAAGGUAACCGUAGGUGAACCUGCGGUUGGAUCACCUCCUUU